rnacentral:rRNA from 1 species
CAGGCCUAACACAUGCAAGUCGAGCGGUAGAGAGAAACUUGCUUCUCUUGAGAGCGGCGGACGGGUGAGUAAUGCCUAGGAAUCUGCCUGGUAGUGGGGGAUAACGUUCGGAAACGGACGCUAAUACCGCAUACGUCCUACGGGAGAAAGCAGGGGACCUUCGGGCCUUGCGCUAUCAGAUGAGCCUAGGUCGGAUUAGCCAGUUGGUGAGGUAAUGGCUCACCGGGGCGACGAUCCGUAACUGGUCUGAGAGGAUGAUCAGUCACACUGGAACUGAGACACGGUCCAGACUCCUACGGGAGGCAGCAGUGGGGAAUAUUGGACAAUGGGCGAAAGCCUGAUCCAGCCAUGCCGCGUGUGUGAAGAAGGUCUUCGGAUUGUAAAGCACUUUAAGUUGGGAGGAAGGGUUGUAGAUUAAUACUCUGCAAUUUUGACGUUACCGACAGAAUAAGCACCGGCUAACUCUGUGCCAGCAGCCGCGGUAAUACAGAGGGUGCAAGCGUUAAUCGGAAUUACUGGGCGUAAAGCGCGCGUAGGUGGUUUGUUAAGUUGGAUGUGAAAUCCCCGGGCUCAACCUGGGAACUGCAUUCAAAACUGACUGACUAGAGUAUGGUAGAGGGUGGUGGAAUUUCCUGUGUAGCGGUGAAAUGCGUAGAUAUAGGAAGGAACACCAGUGGCGAAGGCGACCACCUGGACUAAUACUGACACUGAGGUGCGAAAGCGUGGGGAGCAAACAGGAUUAGAUACCCUGGUAGUCCACGCCGUAAACGAUGUCAACUAGCCGUUGGAAGCCUUGAGCUUUUAGUGGCGCAGCUAACGCAUUAAGUUGACCGCCUGGGG